rnacentral:rRNA from 1 species
AUGAACGCUGGCGGCGUGCCUAAUACAUGCCAGUCGAGCGAACAGACGAGGAGCUUGCUCCUCUGACGUUAGCGGCGGACGGGUGAGUAACACGUGGAUAACCUACCUAUAAGACUGGGAUAACUUCGGGAAACCGGAGCUAAUACCGGAUAAUAUAUUGAACCGCAUGGUUCAAUAGUGAAAGACGGUUUUGCUGUCACUUAUAGAUGGAUCCGCGCCGCAUUAGCUAGUUGGUAAGGUAACGGCUUACCAAGGCAACGAUGCGUAGCCGACCUGAGAGGGUGAUCGGCCACACUGGAACUGAGACACGGUCCAGACUCCUACGGGAGGCUGCAGUAGGGAAUCUUCCGCAAAGGGCGAAAGCCUGACGGAGCAACGCCGCGUGAGUGAUGAAGGUCUUCGGAUCGUAAAACUCUGUUAUUAGGGAAGAACAAAUGUGUAAGUAACUAUGCACGUCUUGACGGUACCUAAUCAGAAAGCCACGGCUAACUACGUG